rnacentral:misc_RNA from 1 species
ACUGGACAAUCAGCUUUACUCCGGUGCAACGUAGUUGGGAUAUCAUGAGAGUAUCCACCCUCCUAAAAUGCACCCAACAUUGGGGGGAAAAAGAACAUGAUAAGCCACGAGUAAGGAUGCCUUAAACAGUAAGAGGUAGAUCAAACGAGCACAGUGAAUACGAGCACUUCUAUACAACCAGUCCUCACAGUUGAUUCAUACAUCUGUCAUAUGUUGCUUAGAAGUCCUUUAAUGGUAUACUGGAUCAGGCAACAGC